rnacentral:tRNA from 1 species
CUACAAAAUAGACAGCGAUGGAACACCUUGGUCAUCGCAAUAUGCUUUCAUCAGUUCUUCGA